rnacentral:rRNA from 1 species
AGUGAACGCUGGCGGUAGGCCUAACACAUGCAAGUCGAACGGCAGCACAGUAAGAGCUUGCUCUUACGGGUGGCGAGUGGCGGACGGGUGAGGAAUACAUCGGAAUCUACUUUUUCGUGGGGGAUAACGUAGGGAAACUUACGCUAAUACCGCAUACGACCUACGGGUGAAAGCAGGGGAUCUUCGGACCUUGCGCGAUUGAAUGAGCCGAUGUCGGAUUAGCUAGUUGGCGGGGUAAAGGCCCACCAAGGCGACGAUCCGUAGCUGGUCUGGGAGGAUGAUCAGCCACACUGGAACUGAGACACGGUCCAGACUCCUACGGGAGGCAGCAGUGGGGAAUAUUGGACAAUGGGCGCAAGCCUGAUCCAGCCAUACCGCGUGGGUGAAGAAGGCCUUCGGGUUGUAAAGCCCUUUUGUUGGGAAAGAAAAGCAGCAGGUUAAUACCCCGCUGCUCUGACGGUACCCAAAGAAUAAGCACCGGCUAACUUCGUG